UGGGGAAUUCUGGACAAUGGGCGCAAGCCUGAUCCAGCCAUGCCGCGUGCAGGAUGAAGGCCUUCGGGUUGUAAACUGCUUUUGUACGGAACGAAAAGGUUCUUUCUAAUAAAGAGAGCUCAUGACGGUACCGUAAGAAUAAGCACCGGCUAACUACGUGCCAGCAGCCGCGGUAAUACGUAGGGAGCAAGCGUUAAUCGGAAUUACUGGGCGUAAAGCGUGCGCAGGCGGUUAUGUAAGACAGUUGUGAAAUCCCCGGGCUCAGCCUGGGAACUGCAUCUGUGACUGCAUAGCUAGAGUACGGUAGAGGGGGAUGGAACUCCGCGUGUAGCAGUGAAAUGCGUAGAUAUGCGGAGGAACACCGAUGGCGAAGGCAAUCCCCUGGACCUGUACUGACGCUCAUGCACGAAAGCGUGGGGAGCAAACA
rnacentral:rRNA from 1 species